rnacentral:siRNA from 1 species
UGCAUCGGGUCCUACUUCUUU